rnacentral:rRNA from 1 species
GAUGAACGCUGGCGGCGUGCCUAAUACAUGCAAGUCGAGCGAACAGACGAGGAGCUUGCUCCUCUGACGUUAGCGGCGGACGGGUGAGUAACACGUGGAUAACCUACCUAUAAGACUGGGAUAAUUUCGGGAAACCGGAGCUAAUACCGGAUAAUAUAUUGAACCGCAUGGUUCAAUAGUGAAAGACGGUUUUGCUGUCACUUAUAGAUGGAUCCGCGCCGCAUUAGCUAGUUGGUAAGGUAACGGCUUACCAAGGCAACGAUGCGUAGCCGACCUGAGAGGGUGAUCGGCCACACUGGAGCUGAGGCACGGUCCAGGCUCCUGCGGGAGGCAGCAGUAGGGAAUCUUCCGCAGUGGGCGAAAGCCUGACAGAGCAACGCCGCGUGAAAGAUGAAGGUCUUCGGAUCGUAAAGCUCUGUUAUUAGGGAAGAACAAAUGUGUAAGUAACUAUGCACGUCUUGACGGUAACUAAUCAAAAAGCCACGGCUAACUACGUG